rnacentral:RNase_P_RNA from 2 species
UCUGGGUAAACGCUGCAUUCUUUGUAAUGUAGAGGAAAGUCCAUGCUCACACAGACCUAUUUUUUAGGCUUGUAGUGUUCGUGUAUAGGGAAAAAAUAACCUAUAGUAGUUAAUUCUAACGGCGGCGAAGUAACCUAAGUCUUUGAUAUGGUUAUUGUAGCCAUAAAGUGCCAUAGUGACGAAUAAUCAGAAAUGAGGAAAUGGAACGGGUAAACCCCACGAGUGAGAAACCCAAAUAUUGGUAGGGGAACUUUCUAAUAGGUAACUAGAGGAAAGAUGCAUUAUGCAUAGAUAAAUGUUUACCGCUUGCAAAAGUACAGAACAUGGCUUAUAA